UGGGGAAUAUUGGGCAAUGGGCGCAAGCCUGACCCAGCAACGCCGCGUGAGGGAAGAAGGUCUUCGGAUUGUAAACCUCUGUCCUUGGGGACGAAAAAAAUGACGGUACCCAAGGAGGAAGCUCCGGCUAACUACGUGCCAGCAGCCGCGGUAAUACGUAGGGAGCGAGCGUUGUCCGGAAUUACUGGGCGUAAAGGGUGCGUAGGCGGCAUGGCAAGUCAGAUGGGAAAUCCCCGGGCUUAACUCGGGGGGUGCAUUUGAAACUGCUGUGCUUGAGUGCAGGAGAGGAAAGCGGAAUUCCUAGUGUAGCGGUGAAAUGCGUAGAUAUUAGGAGGAACACCAGUGGCGAAGGCGGCUUUCUGGACUGUAACUGACGCUGAGGCACGAAAGCGUGGGGAGCAUACA
rnacentral:rRNA from 1 species